UUGAAAACAAAAGAAAACAAAACAACUGAAUUAAUCAAAAUCUAGCACUUUGAUCUUGAUUAACACUCUGAUCUAGCACUCUAAAAAAACAAUAUGUAUUACAGAACAACGAAGCGUGGGCCCAUAACCUAUUGGAUUCACAGAAUACUACACCAAAAAUAUCGGGAAAAACAACAACACUUUAUGUUGCAUAAAGAGCAUUCCCCGAAUCUCAUUAAGCUUCACUUCACCCUGAGGCCCAUUCAAGCAGCGAAUGCCGGACAGAGCCUGCAUCCCACCCUUCAGUAAUUGAUUCACCUCCCAUCUCUUGAAAGAUCAGCAAAGUUUGCUACUACUGCUUGGUUGAGAUUGUUUCCUGAAGUAGGCGUUCAGGCCCGACUUCGAACUCUCAGUACAUCACAGUCUUGCGUAGCUCCGCGCACCCAGUAGAUCUCGACAGAUAGUGUAAUUGCAGGUCUUCAAUACCAACAACGGCACCACGAGCUGGGGAGCUUAAUGUCAUCGGAUCAGGUGAGCAAAUUGAUGCGGCAUCUUCAAA
rnacentral:lncRNA from 1 species